rnacentral:rRNA from 1 species
UGAUCCUGCCAGUAGUCAUAUGCUUGUCUCGCAGAUUAAGCCAUGCAUGCCUAAGUGUAAAUACUUUACAUUGAAACUGCGAAUGGCUCAUUACAACAGUUAUAGUUUGCUUGGAGUUUACAUACCACCGGAUAUCCGUGGUAAUUCUACAGUUAAUACGUAGCAGCUUCCUUUGAAGUGUUGCAUAUUGCUGUUAACAAGCGGCAGAAAUUUUUCUGUCUAACUUGAAUACUUUUAUGCACGAAUCGUGUUUCACACGAAAGUCCAUCAAAGUUUCUGACCUAUCAGGUUUCGACGGUUGGGUAUUGGCCAACCGUGCCGAUAACGGGUAACGGGGGAUUAGGGUUUGAUCCCGGAGAGGGAGCAUGAGAGAUGGCUACCACAUCUAAGGAAGGCAGCAGGCGCGCAAAUUACCUAUCCUUGACGCAGGGAGGUAGUAAACAGAAAAUAAUGACGCAUAAUUUAAUUGUGCGAUCGGAAUGAGUAAGCUUUAAAACAAGUUUGCGAACACAAUUGGAGGGCAAGUCU